rnacentral:rRNA from 1 species
UACAGAGGUGGCAAGCGUUGUUCGGAAUUACUGGGCGUAAAGGGCGCGUAGGCGGCCAUCUAAGUCAGACGUGAAAUCCCCCGGCUUAACCUGGGAACUGCGUCUGAUACUGGAAGGCUUGAGUUUGGGAGAGGGAUGCGGAAUUCCAGGUGUAGCGGUGAAAUGCGUAGAUAUCUGGAGGAACACCGGUGGCGAAGGCGGCAUCCUGGACCAACACUGACGCUGAGUGAGCGAAAGCCAGGGGAGCAAACGGG